CGAAAGCCUGACGGAGCAACGCCGCGUGCGGGAAGAAAGCCUUUGGGCUGUAAACCGCUUUUCUCAGGGAAGAAGCCCUGACGGUACCUGAGGAAUCAGCAUCGGCUAACUCCGUGCCGGCAGCCGCGGUAAGACGGAGGAUGCAAGCGUUAUCCGGAAUUAUUGGGCGUAAAGCGUCCGCAGGGGGCUCAUCAAGUCUGCUGUCAAAGGUCGGAGCUCAACUCCGGUUCGGCAGUGGAAACUGGUGGGCUAGAGGGCGACAGGGGUAGAGAGAAUUCCCAGUGUAGCGGUGAAAUGCGUAGAGAUUGGGAAGAACACCGGUGGCGAAAGCGCUCUACUGGGUCGCGCCUGACCCUCAGGGACGAAAGCUAAGGUAGCG
rnacentral:rRNA from 1 species